ACUAACAAGGAUUCCCCUAGUAACGGCGAGUGAAGUGGGAAAAGCUCAACUUUGAAAUCUGGCAGUUUCGCUGUCCGAGUUGUAGUCUCGAGAAGUGUUUUCCGCGUUAAUGCAUGUAUGAGUCUGUUGGAAUACAGCGUCAUAGAGGGUGAGAACCCCGUUCAUGACAUGCUUUUUAAUGCUCUGUGAUACACUUUCGAUGAGUCGAGUUGUUUGGGAAUGCAGCUCAAAGUGGGUGGUAAAUUCCAUCUAAAGCUAAAUAUUGGCGGGAGACCGAUAGCAAACAAGUACCGUGAGGGAAAGAUGAAAAGCACUUUGGAAAGAGAGUUAAAAGUACGUGAAAUUGUCGAAAGGGAAACGCUUGAAGUCGGACGGAUAGGCAACUAUCGGCCAACAUCAGUUUCAAUAGUCGGAUAAAGGCGGAAGAAGGUAGCAGAUCCGUCUGUGUUAUAGCUUCCAGCUGAAUACGAAUAAUGAGACUGAGGACCGCGCGUAAGCUAGGAUGUUGGUGGAACGGCUUUAAACGACCCGUCUUGAAACACGGACCAAGGAGUCUAACAUGCUUGCGAGUGUUUGGGUGUCAAACCCAUGCGCGUAAUGAAAGUGAAUGGAGGUGGGACCCGCAAGGAGCACCAUCGACCGGUCCGGAUGUUUACUGAAGGAUCUGAGUAAGAGCACGUAUGUUGGGACCCGAAAGAUGGUGAACUAUGCCUGAAUAGGGUGAAGCCAGAGGAAAACUCUGGUGGAGGGCUCGUUAGCGGUUCUGACGUGCAAAAUCGAUCGUCAAAAUUUUUGGGGUAAUAAGGGGGGCGAAAAGACUAAUCGAACCCAUCUAGUAGCUGGUUUCCAGCCGAAGUUUUC
rnacentral:rRNA from 1 species